AGGGAAUGUUCCUGUUCUGGCAGCAGAAGCAAUCUCAAUGGAGGGAAUAACUGAGGAUGAUGAACAUACAGAAAUUAAUGUUUUAGAUGGUAGUGCCUAUGAAACAGAACAGAGUGAAGUGAGCCAGCCAAGACCAUCAGGAGCAACUGAUGAAAACCUGGAGCCAUCUGCAGAAUCAGGUGAUGCUCAACAUGGUGGCGACGAAGAUUUAGAAAGUACAUCAGCAGUUUCACAAGGAUAUGUUCCUAGUGACCUUAAUGAAAGGAUUGUUCUUGAGCUUCCAUCAUCUAUGGUCCGGCCCUUAAUGGUUAUGCGAGGAACAUUUCAAGUAACAACUAGGAGAAUAAAUUUUAUAGUUGAUACCACUGAAAGCAACGCUGUGGAUGGAAUGGAAUCUUCU
rnacentral:misc_RNA from 1 species